GAUUCGAUGGUACUCAAGAGGAAGCCACGGCUAACUCUGUGCCAGCAGCCGCGGUAAUACAGAGGUGGCGAGCGUUGUUCGGAUUUACUGGGCGUAAAGGGUGCGUAGGUGGUCAUGUAUGUCGGGUGUGAAAGCCCACGGCUCAACCGUGGAAUGGCACUCGAAACUGCAUGACUAGAGUACAGGAGGGGAGAGCGGAAUUCUUGGUGUAGCGGUGAAAUGCGUUGAUAUCAAGAAGAACACCGGUGGCGAAGGCGGCUCUCUGGAAUGUUACUGACACUGAUGCACGAAAGCUGGGGGAGCAAACAGGAUUAGAUACCCUGGUAGUCCCAGCCGUAAACGGUGCACACUUGGUGUGGGGGGAUUUGACCCCCUCCGUGCCGGAGCUAACGCGUUAAGUGUGCCGCCUGGGGAGUACGGUCGCAAGGCUAAAACUCAAAGAAAUUGACGGGGGCCCGCACAAGCGGAGGAGCAUGUGGCUUAAUUCGAUGCAACGCGAAGAACCUUACCAGGGCUUGACAUAUACCUGCACGCCUCGUGAAAGCGAGGAAGCCUUCGAGGGUGGUAUACAGGUGCUGCAUGGCUGUCGUCAGUUCGUGCUGUGAGGUGUUGGGUUAAGUCCCGCAACGAACGCAACCCCUGUGGUUAGUUGCCACCGCCGGUGAUGAGCCGGCGAGCACUCUAGCCAGACUGCCCGUACAAGCGGGAGGAAGGUGGGGACGACGUCAAGUCAGUAUGGCCCUUACGCCCUGGGCUGCACACGUGCUACAAUGGUCGGUACAGAGGGACGCAAUAUCGCGAGAUGGAGCAAAUCCCCAAAGCCGGCCCCAGUUCGGAUUGGAGUCUGAAACUCGACUCCAUGAAGUUGGAUUCGCUAGUAACGGCGUAUCAGCUACGACGCCGUGAAUACGUUCCCGGGCCUUGUACACACCGCCCGUCACAUCAUGAAAGCCGUCUGCACCCG
rnacentral:rRNA from 1 species